rnacentral:misc_RNA from 1 species
GUCCAAAACUGGUCUGACUUACAAGGAAAGCUUGAUAUAUUAAGGAAUCUGGUGUAAGUAGUACUCAUAAUGAAUUUUCAAGGUGAAUGAGGAAGCUAACUUCCAGCCUUAGUAUUAGUUGGAAUAGGUUGGCUUGGGAAGAAGAGCUAAUAGAAGAAAGGCUGGUAAUGUGAAAGCAUUCAAGUUUCAUUAUGCUAAAAGCAUUGUUUCUUCUGGGAACUUAAUUGGAGCAGAUAACUUUGACAGCUGUUGUGCUGCUGUAUGACAAACUAAGCUACUUAAAACAAAAGACUUAUGGUAGAAAUUAACUUGAAGAAAAAGAACUCAAAGUUGGUUGCAGUAGGUGAUUGAUUGAUGUGAUGUACUGUUUUAUGAGUUGAGAAUAUAAAAUUUUCAUAAUUUAAAUUGUGAUAAAUUGUUGCCCUUGAAUUGUCCGAUAAAUGGUUGCUCUU